CCGCAUCUCUCUCUGUCUGUAGGUUCUCUUCUGGGUCUUCGGCCUGACAAAACCACCCCACCCGGUCCUCACACCACGCCUUCUAUUCCCAAAUCAAUUUUUUAAAGGCUUAAAAUCUAAAACAAAUAGGAAACACACUUCCAAUCUGCCCAUAAAACCUUUCUUGGACCGUUGGAUCACGAUCGGGAGUGCCCAAAGCUAUCCGAUCGCGCACCGAUCU
rnacentral:lncRNA from 1 species